UCUUCUCACUGCCUCUAUAAAUUUAAAGUAGCGAGAGUUUCAUUUAUAAACACUUUCGCAUUCGUCACUUCUCUCUCUCUCUCUUCAAUAUUUUUUUGCUUGUGUUGUGCCAAUUCUAAAUAACGAAUGUUGUUCCAAUUCGAUCAUCUCCCAGUACCAACAUAAAGCUUGAUUCAUCUUCACCCCAGACCCAAGGCACUGAGGUUGAUGUUAAUGGAACUCAACAACAUGGAGUUUGAUUCCACUUCAACAUAAAGCAAUGACAUUGGGGUUGAUGAAUUCAGAAUUCGAGUUGUUGAAAACGGAAAAACUUUUCACCAGAAUUCAAUUUUGGAUUUCCUUAAUUAUUGUUUGAGUUUCCCCUUCCUACAGUUUCCGGCAAAUCGAUUUAGGAUUAAGAUUGCAGGAUUUGAAUUCAAUUAUGGAUUUCCUUAAUUAUUGUUCGAGUUCCCCCUUCCUACAAUUUCCAGCAAAUCGAUUUGGGAUUAAGGUUGCGGUAUUUGGUAUGCGUGAAGCUGUUCAUGCAGGAUUCAAUUUUGGAUAUCUCCGAUUAUGUGUAUUCAAAGUGAUUCUCAAGGGUAACUACCAAAAGUGGAUUAGACAUUCUCACGACGGAUGACGACCAACCAAGUGAAAAUAUUAUCUAUAACAUUGUGUACAAGGAAGUUCUUUAAGACCUCACUCACACAACCAACUCAAAUUUAAAAUGACAGGUAUAUAAAUCCAAUAAUUUUUUAUUUAAGUUUAAGCAUUCAUUUUACCAAUUUAUUUUACAAUGUCAACUAAAAUUUGUUAUAUUUGUAUAUUUGUUGAUUGUAUUUCUAUGGUGUAAUUUCUUACCUGCUACCUAAUUUAUGAACCAUAUUUAAAUAUGAUUCUUGAUGGACUAGAAGGUUGUGUUAUUGGUGUGACCACUACGACAAGGUUGUCUCUCAUGCCCGCGCUCAAACCAACGAUGGGGAUUGAAGAUCACCACAAUGGAUGGAAUGGAGUUACACAUUUUAAUGAAUAUAAUAAUAAAAUUUUAUAAUGAUUUAAAAUUCUUUAUAACUCAUAAUUUAUACCAUUUAAAAAUGAUUGAUAUGACUGUUUACUUACCUAAUAAAUAAUUGACUAAUUCAAUUUUAUCAU